rnacentral:rRNA from 1 species
CCUACGGGUGGCAGCAGUGGGGAAUAUUGGACAAUGGGGGGAACCCUGAUCCAGCGACGCCGCGGGAGUGAAGAAGUAUUUCGGUAUGUAAAGCUCUAUCAGCAGGGAAGAAAGAAAUGACGGUACCUGACUAAGAAGCCCCGGCUAACUACGUGCCAGCAGCCGCGGUAAUACGUAGGGGGCAAGCGUUAUCCGGAUUUACUGGGGGGAAAGGGGGCGUAGAGGGCGAUGCAAGUCUGAAGUGAAAGGCGGGGGCCCAACCCCCGGACUGCUUUGGAAACUGUAUGGCUGGAGUGCAGGAGAGGUAAGUGGAAUGCCUAGGGUAGCGGUGAAAUGCGUAGAGAUUAGGAGGAACACCAGUGGCGAAGGCGGCUUACUGGACUGUAACUGACGUUGAGGCUCGAAAGCGUGGGGAGCAAACAGGAUUAGAUACCCCUGUAGUC